UACGUCCACAUCACGUUCACACACCGGUUCCCUUACGGUCACCGAAGUUAAGCAACGUUGAGCAUAUCGUCAAUAUCUAGAUGGGUGACCGCUUGGGAAUACCAGCUGCUGUAA